AAUAUUGGACAAUGGGGGCAACCCUGAUCCAGCCAUGCCGCGUGUGUGAAGAAGGUCUUCGGAUUUUAAAGUACUUUAAGUUGGGAGGAAGGGCUUUAGGCGAAUACCCUGAAGUUUUGACGUUACCAAUAGAAUAAGCACAUGCUAACUCUGUGCCCGCAGCCGCGGUAAUCCAGAGGGUGCAAGCGUUAAACGGAAUUACUGGGCGUAAAGCGCGCGUAGGUGGUUCAGUAAGAUGGGUGUGAAAUCCCCGGGCUUAACCUGGGAACUGCUUUCAUAACUGCUGAGCUAGAGUACGGUAGAGGGUAGUGGAAUUUCCUGUGUAGCGGUGAAAUGCGUAGAUAUAGGAAGGAACACCAGUGGCGAAGGCGACUACCUGGACUGAUACUGACACUGAGGUGCGAAAGCGUGGAGAGCAAAC
rnacentral:rRNA from 1 species